rnacentral:rRNA from 1 species
UUAAGCGACUAAGCGUACACGGUGGAUGCCCUGGCAGUCAGAGGCGAUGAAGGACGUGCUAAUCUGCGAUAAGCGUCGGUAAGGUGAUAUGAACCGUUAUAACCGGCGAUUUCCGAAUGGGGAAACCCAGUGUGUUUCGACACACUAUCAUUAACUGAAUCCAUAGGUUAAUGAGGCGAACCGGGGGAACUGAAACAUCUAAGUACCCCGAGGAAAAGAAAUCAACCGAGAUUCCCCCAGUAGCGGCGAGCGAACGGGGAGCAGCCCAGAGCCUGAAUCAGUAUGUGUGUUAGUGGAAGCGUCUGGAAAGGCGCGCGAUACAGGGUGACAGCCCCGUACACAAAAAUGCACAUAUUGUGAGCUCGAUGAGUAGGGCGGGACACGUGGUAUCCUGUCUGAAUAUGGGGGGACCAUCCUCCAAGGCUAAAUACUCCUGACUGACCGAUAGUGAACCAGUACCGUGAGGGAAAGGCGAAAAGAACCCCGGCGAGGGGAGUGAAAAAGAACCUGAAACCGUGUACGUACAAGCAGUGGGAGCACGCUUCGGCGUGUGACUGCGUACCUUUUGUAUAAUGGGUCAGCGACUUAUAUUCUGUAGCAAGGUUAACCGAAUAGGGGAGCCGAAGGGAAACCGAGUCUUAACUGGGCGUUAAGUUGCAGGGUAUAGACCCGAAACCCGGUGAUCUAGCCAUGGGCAGGUUGAAGGUUGGGUAACACUAACUGGAGGACCGAACCGACUAAUGUUGAAAAAUUAGCGGAUGACUUGUGGCUGGGGGUGAAAGGCCAAUCAAACCGGGAGAUAGCUGGUUCUCCCCGAAAGCUAUUUAGGUAGCGCCUCGUGAACUCAUCUCCGGGGGUAGAGCACUGUUUCGGCAAGGGGGUCAUCCCGACUUACCAACCCGAUGCAAACUGCGAAUACCGGAGAAUGUUAUCACGGGAGACACACGGCGGGUGCUAACGUCCGUCGUGAAGAGGGAAACAACCCAGACCGCCAGCUAAGGUCCCAAAGUCAUGGUUAAGUGGGAAACGAUGUGGGAAGGCCCAGACAGCCAGGAUGUUGGCUUAGAAGCAGCCAUCAUUUAAAGAAAGCGUAAUAGCUCACUGGUCGAGUCGGCCUGCGCGGAAGAUGUAACGGGGCUAAACCAUGCACCGAAGCUGCGGCAGCGACACUAUGUGUUGUUGGGUAGGGGAGCGUUCUGUAAGCCUGUGAAGGUGUGCUGUGAGGCAUGCUGGAGGUAUCAGAAGUGCGAAUGCUGACAUAAGUAACGAUAAAGCGGGUGAAAAGCCCGCUCGCCGGAAGACCAAGGGUUCCUGUCCAACGUUAAUCGGGGCAGGGUGAGUCGACCCCUAAGGCGAGGCCGAAAGGCGUAGUCGAUGGGAAACAGGUUAAUAUUCCUGUACUUGGUGUUACUGCGAAGGGGGGACGGAGAAGGCUAUGUUGGCCGGGCGACGGUUGUCCCGGUUUAAGCGUGUAGGCUGGUUUUCCAGGCAAAUCCGGAAAAUCAAGGCUGAGGCGUGAUGACGAGGCACUACGGUGCUGAAGCAACAAAUGCCCUGCUUCCAGGAAAAGCCUCUAAGCAUCAGGUAACAUCAAAUCGUACCCCAAACCGACACAGGUGGUCAGGUAGAGAAUACCAAGGCGCUUGAGAGAACUCGGGUGAAGGAACUAGGCAAAAUGGUGCCGUAACUUCGGGAGAAGGCACGCUGAUAUGUAGGUGAAGCGACUUGCUCGUGGAGCUGAAAUCAGUCGAAGAUACCAGCUGGCUGCAACUGUUUAUUAAAAACACAGCACUGUGCAAACACGAAAGUGGACGUAUACGGUGUGACGCCUGCCCGGUGCCGGAAGGUUAAUUGAUGGGGUUAGCGGUAACGCGAAGCUCUUGAUCGAAGCCCCGGUAAACGGCGGCCGUAACUAUAACGGUCCUAAGGUAGCGAAAUUCCUUGUCGGGUAAGUUCCGACCUGCACGAAUGGCGUAAUGAUGGCCAGGCUGUCUCCACCCGAGACUCAGUGAAAUUGAACUCGCUGUGAAGAUGCAGUGUACCCGCGGCAAGACGGAAAGACCCCGUGAACCUUUACUAUAGCUUGACACUGAACAUUGAGCCUUGAUGUGUAGGAUAGGUGGGAGGCUUUGAAGUGUGGACGCCAGUCUGCAUGGAGCCGACCUUGAAAUACCACCCUUUAAUGUUUGAUGUUCUAACGUGGACCCGUGAUCCGGGUUGCGGACAGUGUCUGGUGGGUAGUUUGACUGGGGCGGUCUCCUCCUAAAGAGUAACGGAGGAGCACGAAGGUUGGCUAAUCCUGGUCGGACAUCAGGAGGUUAGUGCAAUGGCAUAAGCCAGCUUGACUGCGAGCGUGACGGCGCGAGCAGGUGCGAAAGCAGGUCAUAGUGAUCCGGUGGUUCUGAAUGGAAGGGCCAUCGCUCAACGGAUAAAAGGUACUCCGGGGAUAACAGGCUGAUACCGCCCAAGAGUUCAUAUCGACGGCGGUGUUUGGCACCUCGAUGUCGGCUCAUCACAUCCUGGGGCUGAAGUAGGUCCCAAGGGUAUGGCUGUUCGCCAUUUAAAGUGGUACGCGAGCUGGGUUUAGAACGUCGUGAGACAGUUCGGUCCCUAUCUGCCGUGGGCGCUGGAGAACUGAGGGGGGCUGCUCCUAGUACGAGAGGACCGGAGUGGACGCAUCACUGGUGUUCGGGUUGUCAUGCCAAUGGCACUGCCCGGUAGCUAAAUGCGGAAGAGAUAAGUGCUGAAAGCAUCUAAGCACGAAACUUGCCCCGAGAUGAGUUCUCCCUGACUCCUUGAGAGUCCUGAAGGAACGUUGAAGACGACGACGUUGAUAGGCCGGGUGUGUAAGCGCAGCGAUGCGUUGAGCUAACCGGUACUAAUGAACCGUGAGGCUUAACCUU